rnacentral:rRNA from 1 species
CGGGGAAUAUUGCGCAAUGGGCGAAAGCCUGACGCAGCAACGCCGCGUGAGGGAUGAAGGCUUUCGGGUUGUAAACCUCUUUCAGCAGGGACGAUUGUGACGGUACCUGCAGAAGAAGCCCCGGCCAACUACGUGCCAGCAGCCGCGGUAACACGUAGGGGGCGAGCGUUGUCCGGAUUUAUUGGGCGUAAAGAGCUCGUAGGUGGUUCGGUAAGUCGGGUGUGAAAACUCUGGGCUCAACUCAGAGACGCCACCCGAUACUGCUGUGACUUGAGUCUGGUAGGGGAGUGUGGAAUUCCCGGUGUAGCGGUGAAAUGCGCAGAUAUCGGGAGGAACACCAGUGGCGAAGGCGGCACUCUGGGCCAGAACUGACACUGAGGAGCGAAAGCGUGGGUAGCGAACAGGAUUAGAUACCCUGGUAGUCCACGCCGUAAACGUUGGGCACUAGGUGUGGGUCUCAACCAACGGGAUCCGUGCCGUAGCUAACGCACUAAGUGCCCGCCUGGGG